UACGAGGGGGGCGAGCGUUGUUCGGAAUUACUGGGCGUAAAGGGCGCGUAGGCGGUUUGCUAAGUUGAAUGUGAAAACUCUGGGCUUAACCCAGAGCCUGCAUUCAAUACUGGUAGGCUAGAGUUCUGGAGGGGAUAGCGGAAUUCCUGGUGUAGCGGUGAAAUGCGUAGAUAUCAGGAGGAACACCGGUGGCGAAGGCGGCUAUCUGGACAGAGUCUGACGCUGAGGCGCGAAAGCUAGGGGAGCAAACAGG
rnacentral:rRNA from 1 species